AGGACGACGCUGGCGGCGUGCUUAACACAUGCAAGUCGAACGGAAAGGCCCUGCUUUUGUGGGGUGCUCGAGUGGCGAACGGGUGAGUAACACGUGAGUAACCUGCCCUUGACUUUGGGAUAACUUCAGGAAACUGGGGCUAAUACCGGAUAGGAGCUCCUGCUGCAUGGUGGGGGUUGGAAAGUUUCGGCGGUUGGGGAUGGACUCGCGGCUUAUCAGCUUGUUGGUGGGGUAGUGGCUUACCAAGGCUUUGACGGGUAGCCGGCCUGAGAGGGUGACCGGCCACAUUGGGACUGAGAUACGGCCCAGACUCCUACGGGAGGCAGCAGUGGGGAAUAUUGCACAAUGGGCGGAAGCCUGAUGCAGCAACGCCGCGUGCGGGAUGACGGCCUUCGGGUUGUAAACCGCUUUCGCCUGUGACGAAGCGUGAGUGACGGUAAUGGGUAAAGAAGCACCGGCUAACUACGUG
rnacentral:rRNA from 1 species